AACGAACGCAGGCGGCGUGCCUAACACAUGCAAGUCGAGCGCGAAAGGGGGGGGCAACUCCCCCGAGUAGAGCGGCGCACGGGUGAGUAACGCGUGGGUAACCUACCCCCCGGCGGGGGAUAACUACUCGAAAGGGUGGCUAAUACCGCAUGAGACCACGGGGUCUUCGGAUCCUGAGGCCAAAGGUCGCUCCGGCUUGCCGGGGCGGUCACCGGGGGAUGGGCCCGCGUCCGAUUAGCUAGUUGGUGAGGUAACGGCUCACCAAGGCUACGAGCGGUAGCUGGUCUGAGAGGAUGAUCAGCCACACUGGAACUGGAACACGGUCCAGACCCCUACGGGAGGCAGCAGUGAGGAAUAUUGCGCAAUGGGGGAAACCCUGACGCAGCAACGCCGCGUGGGUGAAGAAGGCCUUCGGGUCGUAAAGCCCUUUCGGACGGGACGAACGCUCCGCGGUGACAACCCGCGGAGUCUGACGGUACCGUAGGAAGAAGCACCGGCUAACUCCGUGCCAGCCGCCGCGGUAACAC
rnacentral:rRNA from 1 species